UGUGUGUUGGGGGGACAGGUCGUCAGGUGUGUGUGUUGGGGGGACAGGUCGUCAGGUGUGUAAUCCUCUGGAGGUAGACGUUUUGAUAUUAACCCUUUGUGCUGGCCAACCAGGUGUGUGUUGGGGGACAGGUCGUCAGGUGUGUAAUCCUCUGGAGGUAGACGUUUUGAUAUUAACCCUUUGUGCUGGCCAACCAGGUGUGUGUUGGGGGGACAGGUCGUCAGGUGUGUAAUCCUCUGGAGGUAGACGUUUUGAUAUUAACCCUUUGUGCUGGCCAACCAGGUGUGUGUUGGGGGACAGGUCGUCAGGUGUGUGUUGGGGGGACAGGUCGUCAGGUGUUUAAUCCACACCUCUGGAGGUAGACGUUUUGAUAUUAACCCUUUGUGCUGGCCAACCAGGUGUGUGUUGGGGGACAGGUCGUCAGGUGUGUGUUGGGGGGACAGGUCGUCAGGUGUUUAAUCCACACCUCUGGAGGUAGACGUUUUGAUAUUAACCCUUUGUGCUGGCCAACCAGGUGUGUGUUGGGGGACAGGUCGUCAGGUGUGUAAUCCUCUGGAGGUAGACGUUUUGAUAUUAACCCUUUGUGCUGGCCAACCAGGUGUGUGUUGGGGGGACAGGUCGUCAGGUGUGUAAUCCUCUGGAGGUAGACGUUUUGAUAUUAACCCUUUGUGCUGGCCAACCAGGUGUGUGUUGGGGGACAGGUCGUCAGGUGUGUAAUCCUCUGGAGGUAGACGGUUUGAUAUUAACCCUUUGUGCUGGCCAACCAGGUGUGUGUUGGGGGGACAGGUCGUCAGGUGUGUGUUGGGGGGACAGGUCGUCAGGUUUGUAAUCCUCUGGAGGUAGACGUUUUGAUAUUAACCCUUUGUGCUGGCCAACCAGGUGUGUGUUGGGGGACAGGUCGUCAGGUGUGUAAUCCUCUGGAGGUAGACGUUUUGAUAUUAACCCUUUGUGCUGGCCAACCAGGUGUGUGUUGGGGGGACAGGUCGUCAGGUGUGUAAUCCUCUGGAGGUAGACGUUUUGAUAUUAACCCUUUGUGCUGGCCAACCAGGUGUGUGUUGGGGGACAGGUCGUCAGGUGUGUAAUCCUCUGGAGGUAGACGGUUUGAUAUUAACCCUUUGUGCUGGCCAACCAGGUGUGUGUUGGGGGGACAGGUCGUCAGGUGUGUGUUGGGGGGACAGGUCGUCAGGUUUGUAAUCCUCUGGAGGUAGACGUUUUGAUAUUAACCCUUUGUGCUGGCCAACCAGGUGUGUGUUGGGGGGACAGGUCGUCAGGUGUGUAAUCCUCUGGAGGUAGACGUUUUGAUAUUAACCCUUUGUGCUGGCCAACCAGGUGUGUGUUGGGGGGACAGGUCGUCAGGUGUGUGUGUGUUUGGGGGACAGGUCGUCAGGUGUGUAAUCCACACCUCUGGAGGUAGGCCGUUUGAUAUUAACCUUUUGUAAUG